GGAUUAAUAUCCAUAGGAUUACCGGUUCGCAUGAAUUGGUAAUUAAAACUGCGGUGGUAUAAGAUGGGCAUGCGUCUGAUUAGGUAGUUGGUAGGGUAACGGCCUACCAAGCCGACGAUCAGUAGGGGUUCUGAGAGGAUUACCCCCCACACUGGUACUGAGACACGGACCAGACUCCUACGGGAGGCAGCAGUGAGGAAUAUUGGUCAAUGGGCGAGAGCCUGAACCAGCCAUCCCGCGUGCAGGAUGACGGCCCUAUGGGUUGUAAACUGCUUUUCUGCGCCAAGAAAACCUGUCAACGUGUUGACAGCUGACGGUAGCGCAGGAAUAAGCACCGGCUAACUCCGUGCCAGCAGCCGCGGUAAUACGGAGGGUGCAAGCGUUAUCCGGAUUCAUUGGGUUUA
rnacentral:rRNA from 1 species